AUUGAACGCUAGCGGGAUGCCUUACACAUGCAAGUCGAACGGCAGCACGGACUUCGGUCUGGUGGCGAGUGGCGAACGGGUGAGUAAUGUAUCGGAACGUGCCCAGUAGCGGGGGAUAACUACUCGAAAGAGUAGCUAAUACCGCAUACGCCCUACGGGGGAAAGGGGGGGAUCGCAAGACCUCUCACUAUUGGAGCGGCCGAUAUCGGAUUAGCUAGUUGGUGGGGUAAAGGCCCACCAAGGCGACGAUCCGUAGCUGGUUUGAGAGGACGACCGGCCACACUGGGACUGAGACACGGCCCAGACUCCUACGGGAGGCAGCAGUGGGGAAUUUUGGACAAUGGGGGCAACCCUGAUCCAGCCAUCCCGCGUGUGCGAUGAAGGCCUUCGGGUUGUAAAGCACUUUUGGCAGGAAAGAAAUCGCAUGGGUUAAUACCCUGUGUGGAUGACGGUACUUGCAGAAUAAGCACCGGCUAACUACGUGCCAGCCGCCGCGGUAA
rnacentral:rRNA from 1 species